UUCUCAAGUAAAUGGCGUUUAGGAAGAGU
rnacentral:piRNA from 1 species